GUCUCAGGCCGUAUCAGCCUGAAGGCGCCCGAUCUCGUCUGAUCUCGGAAGCUAAGCAGGGUCGGGCCUGGUUAGUAUCUUGGAUGGGAGACCACCUGGGGAAUCCCGGGUGCUCGAGGCU
rnacentral:rRNA from 1 species